GCGGCUGGGUUGGGUGAAAGGAGUCGACAAGGGGUUUCCGGGAAGACGAGGCGCGUGGGUCCCAUCGGAUAACGUGACGUCUUUCAAGAAAAGAAGAAGAAGAAGAAGAAAAACGCUGAUCUGAAGUCUCCUGCCAGUCUUUCUGAAAGGUGAGAUGGGAUCAUAAGUAUUCUCAAUUGAUGGACACAAUCAAGGUAACCAGGGCUCCGGGAGUCCAAAGAUGGGCGCGGGGGUGAGUUUAGGAUGUGGCUUUGGGCCUUGCAUGCAGCUAUUUUGGAACUGAUGGUCCAAAUUUGUUGCCUGCCUCAAAAUUUGGUUUUGCCCGCUCUUAAACCGCUACAGCUAAAUCAUUUAGCACCGCUAAAUCCUGCUUUAGCGAGCAUAGCUGCCGUAGCAGAGACCCACUCAAAUGCUAUAGCGGUGCUAUAGCCCGCUAUUUAAAAAAUUUCUGACCUGACAUUGCAUCAUCCAAUUAUCUGCAUCUUCGAGAUAUAUAUAAUUGCAUCAUCCAGUUAUCUGCAUCUUCGAGAUAUAUGUAAUUGCAUCAUCCAGUUAUCUGCAUCUUCGAGAUAUAUAUAUAGUUGCAUCAUACUCAUUUAUUUUAUUUUAUUUUUUGUUUACACCACCACCCCCCUCGCAUGGGCACAUUGCUAUAAGAAGAGAUGUCACUGACCUGUUUGGAUCUGUACCAUUUCCUUCCUUUCUUGAGUAUUUCUUCCUGGAGACAUGGGUUUCCUCAGGGUGCCAGCCUUGUGCUUGCUGCUGCUGAUCAUGCCACUCCUUUUACUUCCUGGUUCCGAAGGCGAGACUUGCACGGAGUUCAGCAAGACCUACACUACUUUCUACUGCAGCAAGGACGCAUGCGUCGAGCACUGCCAUGGCGAGGGAUUCACCGAAGGGGAGUGCAGGAUGAUCAGCUUCAACCCCAUCAUGAUUCGCUGCUUCUGCGAGAAACCCUGUUGAUGAUGCUGCUGCUUCAGGAUAGAUGUUCAGUGUGAUGCAGCAAGUAAUAAGGUCUUAACAAUGGCAGAAGUUGUACUUUAACAAGUUUCCUUUCUACAGGUUGUCAUCUGCCCAUCUUCCAAUUAGAACUGGAAAAAUGAGAACAUAACAUUAAUUAUAGAACCAAAAUGCACAAGUUGUGAGGAAAAUGUGGUAAGCCAAUAAACUCACAUUAAUUA